GCCGGAGUAGCUCAACUGGUAGAGCAACUGACUUGUAAUCAGUAGGUUGAGGGUUCAAGUCCUUUCUCCGGCACCA
rnacentral:tRNA from 56 species